rnacentral:rRNA from 1 species
UACGGAGGGGGCGAGCGUUGUUCGGAGUUACUGGGCGUAAAGCGCACGUAGGCGGUGCGGUAAGUCAGGGGUUAAAGGCUGCAGCUCAACUGCAGUAAGGCCUUUGAUACUAUCGUGCUAGAGUGUCAGAGAGGAUGGCGGAAUUCCCGGUGUAGCGGUGAAAUGCGUAGAUAUAGGGAGGAACACCGGUUGCGAAGGCGGCUACCUGGCUGGUAACUGACGCUGAGGUGCGAGAGCGUAGGGAGCAAACAGG